GCUAUAUAUCAAAGAGUUUUAAAUUGCUUAGCCUACAAUAUUAGGCGGGGAGUUUGCGAUAUUCUCCGGGAUAUCCUGCCCUACCUGUAUUGUACGGAAACUUGGUAAAGUCCAAGUUAUAGCAUGAACUCUUAGAGAAAUUAAUUAAUAAACGGAGUGAAUUGAAACAUCUUAUUAACUUCAGGAAAAGAAAUCAAACGAGAUUCUACGAGUAGUGUGAAUGAAAGUGGAAAAGUCUAAACUUCAAUAAGUAAAAUGGAGUGCAUACCUGUUUGAAUAAAGGGGAACCUUCCUCUAAGGCUAAAUAUGAUAUAUAAGCGCUAGUGAUUAGUACCGUGAGGGAAAAGAUUGAAAUAGUAAUUUUAUAAGCAGCUCUAAAAUAGUUUAAAUAAAAAAUAAGAGCGUACCUUUUGCAUAAUGGGUCAGCAAGUUAAUAUUAGAUGCGAGCAGGAAUGCUAAGAUAAAUCAAUUAUGACAUAAUGAUGUAGUAUCUAAAAUUAGACCCGAAGCCUAGUGAUCUUAUCUUGAUCAGGGUUAUAAAAGCCCGAACGGGUUAUCGUUGUAGAGAUAUCCGAAGAAUUUAGAUAAGUUAGUGAAAGACAAAACUGACUAGGAAAGCUGGUUUUCCGCGAAACCUAUAUAAGUAGGUAAUUUAUAUAAGAUCAUAGCAGGUACAGAACUUGUUCAUGUACAACUUGCACUAAAAAAGUGCUCUUUGUUCACGUGGGGGGGUCGGAAGAUUCUACUCGCUAGUAGUUGACCUCGGAAGGGUUAUGAUGACUAUAUAAUAAUCAGACAUAGUUCGCUAAGGUUGUAUGUCUAAAGGGAAACAGCCCAGAACAAGAGUUAAUAAGGUUCCAAAAUUAUUGUUAAGUGAAAAUAAGGAAGUUUGCAUCCAAUUCAGCCAGGAGAUAGGCUUAGAUGCGGCCAUUUUUUAAAGACCUCGUAACAGAGCACUGGUUCAGUAAAUUAUUUUUAUAAUUUAUAUUGAUAAAAGCACCAAAAAUUUAACGGAUCUAAACAAUAUACCGAGACCUUGUCCAUAUUUAUCUAUAUAUCUAAGUUGUAUAUUGUAUUUAUGGGGUAGCGGAACAUUGGGCAAAUCUAAGAUUUUUUCUUUAAAAGACUUAAGAUAAGAUAACCCAAGUGAUAAUGCUGACAUGAGUAACGAUAAAGGGAAUGAAUUAUUCCCUCGCCUAAAACUUAUGGUAUUUACUUAAAGUAACGGCCUCUAAGUUUAUGAACCUAAAGGACUAAACGAUGAGAAAAUCUACCACCCGCUCUUUAAUUUUUUUUCCUUCGGGGAAAUUAAGUUAAAACAAAUAACCUUUGUGCAUAGACUAUAUCUAGGUAUUUACUUUGGGGACGGUACCUAGAUAUUUUUUUGUGUUAAAGUGACAAGGGUUCUGGAUAAGUUAGGAGUAAAGUGGUGCAUCAUGCAUAAUAUAGGGAGGACGCAAUAUCCUGCCUAGUGUGUGUGGUGUAACGACUACCGUACCUAGAAACUACCCCCAGUAAGUUAGUAGAGAAUACGAAGGCGUUUGAGUGAACAAUCAUUAAGGAACUCGGCAAAUUGGCUCACGUAACUUCGGGAUAAGGAGGGCCACUCUUUUGAUUAAUAUAGCUAAAGAGGAGGAGGCACGGAAUGAUGUUGUACGACUGUUUAAUUAAAACAAAGCACUUUGCAAAGACAAUAAUUCAAAGUAUUGAGUGUGAUCUCUGCCCUAUGUCGGCUGGCUAUCGGAUUUGCUUAGUUGACUAAGAUAAGCUUUGAAGGAAAACCCCGAUCAAUGGCGGCCUUACCAUGAGGGUCCUAAGGUAGCAGAAUGCCCUGGCCGUUAAAUGCGGUCUUGCAUGAAUGAUGUAACGAUACAACAGCUGUCUCAAUGAUUGGCUCAGUGAAAUUGGAAUAACUGUGCAGAUACAGUUUACCUCUAGAUGGACGAGAGUGCGACUAGCUAAGUGCUUAAUAACAAUGUGGUGUGAACCCACCUGAUAACCCAUUAUCUGAGCUCAUUCGGUAUGCAAUAAAAGUAAUUUUUUUGUGUAAAGCCCGUUUAAUUAGUUAAAACUAGCCUACCUGUUAAACUUAAUAGGUAGGUGAGCUAUAUUACUAAGGAUAAAAUUAAUUUGAAUCCACGUCUGAAGCGUAAACUAGAUAAUUUAUUUAAAUUUUAGAAAAAAAAGUAUUAAAUAAUUUAAUUUUUGAUUGUAUAAAUAGUUUUUCGUCUAUUUAUUAAUGGGUCUUAUGUCAAAAUACGUAUAGUGGGAUCCUAAGGUAAUUUUAAGGUGUUUUUAAGUAAACUAGGUAAGCCCAAUAAUGUCCUCAACAUUAGUUUUUAAUAUGUUAGGAAGUUUAAUUGCAAGAUUAAAUAUGCAUUAGUGGGUAAAGGAGGUUUUAAAAAGCGAACGUCUUAUUGUAAUGAUAAGAAUAGGUUUAUAACUAAUUUGAAAGAAUGCUGACUUAGAACUGGUGUUUAAUUUUUAUACAAAAAUAUAUGGUAUUUAGUUUUAGUUGUGAGCUAAAUAAACAUAAAAAUUCAACUAACCUAAGUUACGACUUUUAUUUAAUAGAUAAGUAAGUACCCGUACACUUACAAAGUAAACCCUUGACAGAGGGGUCGUGGACAAAAAAAGGGCUAGCACCCUAACUUUUUGUAAAGCUGAAAGUUAUUAAGUAAAAACUUAGCAUA
rnacentral:rRNA from 1 species